rnacentral:rRNA from 1 species
UACGUAGGGGGCAAGCGUUGUCCGGAUUUAUUGGGCGUAAAGAGCGUGUAGGCGGCCUGAAAGGUCAGCUGUGAAAACUCGAGGCUCAACCUCGAGACGUCGGUUGAAACCAUCUGGCUAGAGUCCGGAAGAGGAGUGUGGAAUUCCCGGUGUGAGCGGUGAAAUGCGCAGAUAUCGGGAAGAACACCCGUGGCGAAGGCGGCACUCUGGGACGGUACUGACGCUGAGACGCGAAAGCGUGGGGAGCGAACAGG